GAUCCAACGCUUUCAUGGAUAGACCAUUUUCCGGUGAAAAGUGUGGAAGUCACGAUGAUGGAAUGGCGAAAAGCUGAACAACAGAAGAUGAUCUUCUAUGGCUUAGGGUUUCAGGAGAUCUCGGUCGUAAGUGCUUUGUCAGUAUGGUAUAAUAUGGUGGAAGAAAAUUUUGUCAGUGAGAAGGUGUUCUCUUUUUGGCUCAACGGGAAUCCUAAUGCAUAAAAGGUCGGUGACUUAAUUUUUGGUGAUGUUGACCCUAACCAUUUCAAACGAAAACAAACAUACGUUCCGGUUACUA